rnacentral:RNase_P_RNA from 1 species
AAAGUCGGCCAGGCAAUCGCUGGAUACGCGAGUAUCGGGAGGAAAGUCCGGGCUCCGCAGGGCAGGAUGCCAGCUAACGGCUGGGUGCUACAAGUCGCAAGACCCAAGGCAACGGAAAGUGGAACAGAGAGUAGACCGCCUGCCGGGGGCGACCCCGGUCGGUAAGGGUGAAACGGCGAGGUAAG